AUGCCGUGGUGCUUGCCGGAAGUUACACAAAGUUCAUAUUCUGACCUCCAUUUUCCUCUAAUCCGUUGCUGGGGCAGUUGCUCUUCUGGAACAGUGGUGCCGGCAAUGUUGCUAAGAGUACGGAUCAAGCAGAACAGCUUUUUAGAAGUGGACAUACAAACAACUGGGCGGUUUUGGUAAGCAUGUUAUAAAGUUCAUUUUGGAGUGAAAAUGUGGAAUUCUAUUUAAUACUGCUUGCGUGUGGUGUUCUCAUCAUCUUACCCGUGGGCCACUUGCUGCUUAGUUUAUAAUUUUGUUAGUUUAUUGUUUAGAUCAUGUAAUAUAUAAACAGAGCUCCUUAUCUUCCCACCCAAACCCUGUCCUCCUCCGACUUUCCCGUCACUGUAGACAGCACCACCAUCCUCCCUGUAUCACAAACCCAUAAACUUGGCAUUGUUCUCGACUCAUCUCUCUCAUUCAACCCACGUGUUCAGUCUGUGUCCAGAUCCAGUCACUUCAACCUUUAGAAGAUUGCUAGAAUCUGCCUUUCCUCUCCAUCCAAACUAACG
rnacentral:lncRNA from 1 species